rnacentral:rRNA from 1 species
UACGUAGGGGGCAAGCGUUGUCCGGAUUCAUUGGGCGUAAAGAGCGUGUAGGCGGCCAGGUAGGUCGGUUGUGAAAACUGGAGGCUCAACCUUCAGAGGUCGACCGAAAACCAUCCGUGGCUAGACGGUCCGGGAGAGGAGAGUGGGAAUUCCUGGUGUAGCGGUGAAAUGCGCAGAUAUCAGGAAGAACACCCGUGGCGAAAGCAGCUCUCUGGGACGGUACUAACGCUGAGACGCGAAAGCGUGGGGAGCGAACAGG